UACAGAGGGUGCGAGCGUUGUUCGGAAUUACUGGGCGUAAAGCGCGCGCAGGCGGCCCUUUAAGUCUACCCGUGAAAUGCUGGAGCUCAACUCCGCGCACGCCGGGGGAUACUGGGGGGCUGGAGACAUGUAGAGGCAAGCGGAAUUCCGGGUGUAGCGGUGGAAUGCGUAGAGAUCCGGAAGAACACCUGAGGCGAAGGCGGCAUCCUGGACCGGCAUUGACGCUGAGGCGCGAAAGCCAGGGGAGCAAACGGG
rnacentral:rRNA from 1 species